rnacentral:rRNA from 1 species
GGAUUAGAUACCCUGGUAGUCCAUGCUGUAAACUAUGGAUACUCGCUGUAGCUGGUAUUGACCCCGGCUGUAGCCAAGUUAACACGUUAAGUAUCCCGCCUGGGGAGUACGGUCGCAAGAUUAAAACUCAAAGGAAUUGACGGGGGCCCGCACAAGCGGUGGAUUAUGUGGUUUAAUUCGAAGCAACGCGCAAAACCUUACCUAGGCUUGACAUGCACCGGAAUAGACCUGGAAACAGGCUAGUCCCGCAAGGGACUGGUGACACAGGUGCUGCAUGGCUGUCGUCAGCUCGUGCCG